GAUGAACGCUGGCGGCGUGCCUAAUACAUGCAAGUCGAGCGAAGCGGGGACGGGUGAGUAACCCGUGGAUAACCUCCUAUAAGCCUGGGAUAACUUAGGGAAACCGGAGCUAAACCGGAUCUUUAUAGCUGGAUCCGCGCUGCCUUAGCUAGUUGGUAAGGUAACGGCUUACCAAGGCAACGAUGCAUAGCCAAACUGAGAGGGGGAUCGGCAACACUGGAACUGGGAAACGGGCCAGACACCGACGGGAGGCAGCAGUAGGGAAUCUUCCGCAAUGGGCAAAAGCCUGACGGAGCAACGCCGCGUGAGUGAUGAAGGUCUUCGGAUCGUAAAACGCUGUAAUUAGGGAAGCGGUACCGAAGCAGAAAGCCACGGCUAACUACGUGCCAGCAGCCGCGGUAAUUC
rnacentral:rRNA from 1 species